rnacentral:rRNA from 1 species
AUUAUUUAACACCGGUUCUCGUUAGAUCACCGAAGUCAAGCAUCAUUGGGCGUGGUCAGUACUUGGGUGGGUGACCACCUGGGAACACUGCGUGCCGUU